AUGGGGUCACGAAGAGACGGACAUGACUAAACAACAACAAGCAAUUGGAAUUUGUAGAAAACCAUCAGUUUGAAAAAACAACAACCCUAAGAUCCAGAGCUAAAAAUUUAUCUAAAAUGUAUAGGGUCUUGAUUGGGAAACGAAAGAAGAAUUUGCAAAAUCAUCUAUGAUCAAAUGGGCACAGGCUGUGGGUCAUAAUAUUGAUUUAAACCUGUAGGAACAUUUGUGGAAAACAAAUUUAAAAUUCACCACUAGUUUCACACUAAACGAGAACUGUUUUAAAAUGAUCCACAGGUGGUACUUGACUCCAAAUAAACUAGCUAAAAUGUUUAGAUCUAAACGUGACUUAUGCUGGAAAUGUAAGGAAACAACGAACAUUUUAUUAUUCAUGGUGGUCUUGCAGAUUAAUAAAAGAAUUCUGGGAGAUGAUUUAUAACGAACUUAAGAAAAUGUUUAAAAGAACAUUUCCUAAAACCCCAGGAGCUUUACUUCCGGGAAUAAUGACAACAGAAAUACCAAAAAAAUCACACUACGUUGUGGAUGUAUGCGACUACAUCUGCCUGAACUUUGGUAGCAGAAAAGUGGAGAACAGAUGCAGUACCAUCACAAGAAGAAUGGCACCUUAAAAUAAUAGAUUAUAUAGAACUUGCCAGCAUGAC